rnacentral:sRNA from 1 species
AAUUUACUCUCUUCUGGAAUUCUUUUGCAAGAUCAUGUCGGAAUACUCUGGAAACAACUGGUUCUCUGUAUUGUUGACCAUUUUAAUUAUCAAUAAAUCUUUGUUUAACAAUACAGAGAACCAGUUGUUUCCAGAGUAUUCCGACAUGAUCUUGCAAAAGAAUUCCAGAAGAGAGUAAAUU